UGCUUGAAGAUGACGACGCCCGUGAUAUUCCAAGUGGAAUUUUAAAAGAAUCUGAAAUCCUGACUGCUAAUCUUCUACCACUAAAAUCAAGAGAUAGGUACGAUAAAGAGUAUUCUUUAUUUUGUAAGUGGCGCAACAAUAGAGACAUAAGAAAAGUGAACGAUGAUGUUGUAUUAGUUUAUAUGUCAGAAUUGGCGAAAAAAAACCUUCCACUCUUUGGAGUAAACUUUCCAUGUUAAAAUCGUGUCUGUCAUUAAAAGAGAACAUAGACGUGAAUAGGUUUCCAAAGACUACAGUAUUUGUGAAAAGACGAAACAUUGGAUACCAACCGAAGAAAUCCAAGACUCUCACAAUGCAACAAAUCACCAAAUUCAUUCUUGAAGCUUCUGAUGAAAUUAGGCUCUUGGCAAAAACAGUUUUAAUUUUUGGUAUAUUUGGGGCUUGCCGAAGAGAUGAUAUAGUCAAUUUAAAUACAGACGACGUUGAGGAUAAUGGGCGUUUUUUAAUUGUAUUUGUUCAAAACGGCAAAACACAAAUCCCAUGUACUUUUACUAUUACCAAUGAUGGAUGUUCAUUCAAUCCAUGUGACAUCUGUCGAAAAUAUCUGUCAUUAAGGCCAAAAAAUAUCACAAAUCGAAGAUUAUUUAUAAAGUUUUGCAAUGGAAAAUGUACAAAUCAGAAUGUUGGAACGCAUACUAUCGCUGCUGUUCCACGUAGAAUAGCAAAAUUCCUUAAUCUCGAAAAUCCUGAAGACUAUACAGGGCACUGCUUUCGAAGAACGUCAGCAACAAUGCUCGUAGAAGGGGGAGGUGAUUUAUUAGCUUUAAAAAAUCAUGGAGAUUGGCGUUCUUCAACAGUUGCAGAGGACUACGUUGAACAAUCUGUAAGACGAAAGGUUGAGAUUUCCAAAAAAUUGUUCAGUGGGACCAAAGCUGAGGAGCAACAUAACAAUCAAGAGCUGGAAACAAGAACGAAUGAGGCAGAACCUGAAAUUCAACAAAACACUUCAACUGUUUCAGUACAACAACACGAACUAUUAUAUAAAGCGAUAAACAUACAAAAUAAUACCAAUUGUACUUUCACUAUAAACAUUGGAAAGCUAUAAAAUAUAGAAUUCUGAAAAGUCAAGUUACAAAAAGUCAAAGUUCUAAUUUUUUUUGCAAAUAAUAUUCACAUGAAAAAAUUAUGAAGUUCAGUUUGUUUUUUGUACACCGUUAGCCUAAUAUGUCAAUAGAAGAAUAAAAUUGAGUUUUUUUAUACUAUGUGUCAAUAAAAAGAGUUUUCAUGAUCUUGAUUUUUUUAUCGAGGUUUAUAGCCUAAUGAUUAUAAUUAUAAUACAUCUCUACACACUACAAAUUCAAAUUAAUACAAUUUACAAAUAGUCUACAUUUGCAAAAAACUUUUUUGAAAAUGUGUUUGGACAACUGUGCCAUAUGGUGCAUAGAGUUCAGGAGGGUGAGAUCGGAAAUUUCCACCCCACUUUGAGUACCCUACGACGUCUGGUUCUUGAGAUAUGAGUCAUCAAAGUUUCCCCCCCCCCUCAUAAAACAUUCUUAUCAAAUUUAUUAUUAUUAUAUAGUGAUGCCAAAAAGUUAGGCGGCUUCAUGGGUCACAUGGUGUAACCUACUCACAGCUGAUGCAAUGCAUCUAUUUAUUGUCUCUUUUGAUUUAAAAAUCAUCACCUUGCCAAGCUAGAUGACAACUCUACUUGACAACAUCAGCUGUUGGAAUGCACAAGAGACCCACAAAACCGCCCAACUUUUUGGCGUCUGCAAUACCUGUAGUGUGGCGAAAAAUAUCGUUCGCACCACGGGCAAAAAUGUUUUUCCGGCUCUAAAUCUUUUCUAGUCCUCGGCCUACGGCCUCGGACUUGAAAACCGAUUUCGGGCCGGGAAAAUCUCAUUUUCUGCUCUAGGUGCGAAAUAUACUAUUUCAACUCAUUUUAUUUAUUCAACAACAUAUAAAGUAUAAAAACAAUAAUUUCACCUGUACGGUAUAAUUUUCUGAAUUCUUUCUAAGAGGCAAAAUAUUUUAUAUUAAAUUACACGUCUUAAAUAUUUGAAAAUUAUGUCACCCACGCACCGUAGGCCUACAUUAAAUUUUAUAUAAGGAACCAUCUAGUUUACAGUAUAUAAAUGGAAUGGUCAAUAAGAUAACAGCGUAAAAUUACCUUUUUUUAGUAAGUAGAGAAUUGUGAUUUGUAUCCGCUCUUGAGUUUUAAAAUAAUAUAAUGAAGUAUUGUAUAGAAAAUGGAAAAAUUCAUUGAAAUUGAUAGAAUUUUCUUGUUUUGAAUAGAGUUUGGAUUUCUACUUGCUUUGCAAAAAUCCAAUUAAUAGUAAAUUACAGUCAAAAUGCAAUAAUAUUAUAUUAUAGUCUUGGCAUGCCUAUCAAGUAGACACUCCAGGCCAACUCCACUUUUAAAGACGAAUUAGUAGGGCUUUUUGUUUCUAAAUAACAUGUGUUUUAUAAUAUCGUCAAUAUUGACCGAUUUGGAGUGCAAUCUAGCUGGUCAGUCGAUGGACGAAUAAAAAUAGGCACCAACGAUGGAAGAAGGAAGAUCGUCAAAUGUAGUACCUUAAAUAAUUUCAACUUUCAAAUUUAUUGAAUUUUACCGGUAGUGUAUCAUAUUGGUUUUGCAUAGCAAGUCGACUAGAGUCAUUCCUACGCAUAAGAAUACUAUUUUUUGUUAACUGUUGGAUAAUUAGUGUAAAAAAAUUGAAGAUUGGCAUAUUAUGCAAUAAAAUAGAUAGUUCAAU
rnacentral:lncRNA from 1 species